rnacentral:rRNA from 1 species
CCGCUGAAGGCAUCUAAGCGGGAAACCCUCCCCGAAACGAGGCGGCCGCUCCCAGGCACUUAAGCC